AACAUUUGAGAAAAAGAGUAAAUGAAGAUUAAGCGAUAAUGGAAUCUGUAAUUAUUUAAUUCUUUUUCUGAAUCAUCAAAAUCUAUCUGGUAGUUUUACCCUUUGCAAAAUUUAAUACACAAAGUAAUCAAUUGCUUGUAGUAGCUUUUGCAUUUACAUACUUUUCAUGGAUUGCAGCAAUUUUCAUUCCGUCAGUCAUGAUUGAAUAAGCAUUGUUUCCUGUUAUAGUUUGCUUGGGUUGUGCCCUGUAUUUCAAAGUGACCUGACAUGUCAAGUAUUUGUCUCCUAGGGUAGUGGAAUCAGCUAGCGGUUAACGUUGAGAGGCCUUUUCUUUUGGGUGGAUAAGGUCAUCAAUAAUUUCAUUUAGGGGAAGAAAAGUUGAUUUUUCCCUGCACUUGUUUCAGGAUAGGACUUUUUUGUACAUUUCCUCUGACACGCUUCAUAACGUGCAUGACUGGUUUCUUUUACGCCAAAACAUAAAAGUUUCCUAUUUUAUUUGCUGACGAAAAAUCAUACUUCUAAGAAUUCAUCAUAAGUAACCAUCAAUUUUUCUGGCAGGGGAUUUAUAUGGAUUGAUGAUUCUACCACAGGAAAGAGACCAAGUUCAAUUGAUCUUUUUACCUUUGACGCUGCUGCUGGCUUAUCCAAAUUAUUCCAGAGAAGUUUAUAUCGUUCCCUGUAAGCAUGAUUUGUACUUAGAUAUUUACUUUAGAUUUGUGUUUGGAAUAAUUUGGUUGGCAUAUACAAGUUAUUGAAAGCAGUUGUACACCUAUCCUGCUGAAAUUAUUUUGCUAUUGCUUAGGGCUCUAGCUGUUCUUUCAUCAUAUUGUAGCUUCAUUUGUGAAACUAUAGCUAGGCAUGUGGAAGGUCAUAAGUCUUGGAUUCAGGACAAAAGUCUUUUCAGUACUGAAGUGACGCAAUGUCUUGGCUCACCUAGUUGUAUAUUUAGCUCCAAUGAUGAUGAAAUUUUCUCUAGAGUUUUUACCCUGUCAAUUCCUCUUGCUACAUUCACAUUAAUUUAAAAAUUAAAAUUAUGUCAUGGGUCUCAUAGUCAACAAUUCUCCAACUUGGUUUGCAGGUACUGCACGUUAAGAAGAAACGCAUCUUCUUUUAUCCUAAGCAUUGUGUAAAGUUGAGGCCAAGCUGUUCAGCCAAUUAUGGUGCUUGUUUGGGAUAUUUUAAAUGGUACGAUUGACUAUGCUUAGUGAUGAUAUACAUCAAGGUGAACUUUUCAGAUGUAAUAACUCAUGAACAACUAACAAGUAUUUUGACUCAUGUUCCGCUUGUAGUUAUCAAUUCAUCAUCAUUUUUUCCUGUCCAAUUGCAAUUUCGAUCUGGACGUUGACCUCUGGGAACCCCACUAAAUUAAUAAAGGGUAAUGUGGUUCAAUACAAGUUUAGUAUCUUUUCUCUUUUUACCUUGUACUCAUAGCUUGUUGGACUCCUUUUUUGCCUCUUUCUGCUUUGUCUCUCUCGACCUCUGAUUUGUUAAUUUUCCAAUUUAAUAUGGAAUGAAGCCCCAGCUGAAAACCGAC
rnacentral:lncRNA from 1 species